GGUAUGCAAGAAGUGAAUGAUUUAUUAGGGGACAGCAGCCUAAGCACUCGUGACCCAUUUCUUAGGAAGAGACAUUUUAAAAUAAGAAAAGGAAACUAGAACUUAACAGUCUGACAGGAUAUUCUAGCUAACCACAGAUGUACAGAAUUAUAGUUUAGCUACAGAGAUCUCUUUUCACAAUUUUUUGCACAUCUCAUCAGUAAAUGCUACCUUCUGUAUACUUGACUGCUCUUUGAAAAAGGUAAUCAGAAACCAUUACAAAGUGGAUUUUGUAUCCCAGGCUCAAGUUGGAACAAGAGAAGAGCUGGCAGAGCAUGGAUAUCCCUGUGAGGAGGGGUCAGGAGGCCUGAGACAUCCUUGCAGGGCAGUGUGCAUCCCCUUUCCAACGAGACAGGCGGGGCAGCGGGCCUCUGGGCCCCUCGGGUGGCCGGAACAACAGCGUCAGCACACAGGCCAGGAAGACUGCCCUGCCAGCAAGCAGCGCCAGGCCAAGCACACCCUCUUUCCCGGACUUAGGAAAACAAAACCAACAGGCAAAUCCACUCAUCAGCAUUUCUGAAGCCAGCUGUUAACCAAUCCGCUUCCUUCCCUUUACUCUUUUUUUUCUUUCCCUUUUCCAGAAAAACCUGGAAAGCUCUGCAAAACUCUGCAAAAUGACUUACUAGCUCUGGCUGCCUUGCUGUUUUCCUUGUCUCCUUUGGCCUGUGUCAUCCUCUCAGGCAAGGACCGCACUGCAGUCUGACUUCCUGCCAGCUGGCCUGCAGGGUUCAUCUCUGUCUUUAAAAACAAACAAAAAAACAAACAAAAAAACCCUGUAUUUUCCUAAACCUACAAACCUCAAGUUAGAGGUCAUUUUGUCCAACCCCACCCAAAGCAGAACACCUCAGUUCAGCUGUAAAAUUUAGCAGAGUAAAUGUAUUUGGUUUUAAAACACAACCCCUUGGUUUCACUUUGCCUAUCCAAUCAACCCAGAGUGACAGCUCUCGUAAAAUAUCUGCUCUUGCUAAGAACCCCAUGGGGCAGGUCUAUUUGUGUAUGGAGUUUAGCAGAGCUGAGAGCCCCAGUAAAUUUCCAUUUAGUAAUUCAGUGACUGUCAAUCGACACCUAAUAUGUAUCUAUGGCUGUCUGAGGCCCUGUGCUGGAGACAAAAACAAACGUGAGAUCCAGCUCCUGCCCUCAGUCUCUAGUAACCCUGUCAGGACACUUUCAGCUCAUAAAUGUGUCUGGAUUCAUUCAUUUUGUCCUUUAAAUCCAUUUGCAGGGGAUCAAAUAUAUCACUAAGUUGUGAACAUUUUGAUGAUUAGCUGUGGUCAGAAACAUGAUUUAUAGGAAUGGCUUUCUCCAGUCUUUCCUUUUUUUAAGAUUUUGGGGAAAUAGCUUUUAUAUUGCAAAGAUCAUAGCCAGAGUUCAAACUCUAGGUAAUGCAAUCCAAGUAAGAUUCACUAACCUUUCA